AGAGUUUGAUCCUGGCUCAGAUUGAACGCUGGCGGCAGGCCUAACACCUGCAAGUCGAGCGGUAGAGAGAAGCUUGCUUCUCUUGAGAGCGGCGGACGGGUGAGUAAUGCCUAGGAAUCUGCCUGGUAGUGGGGGAUAACGUUCGGAAACGGACGCUAAUACCGCAUACGUCCUACGGGAGAAAGCAGGGGACCUUCGGGCCUUGCGCUAUCAGAUGAGCCUAGGUCGGAUUAGCUAGUUGGUGAGGUAAUGGCUCACCAAGGCGACGAUCCGUAACUGGUCUGAGAGGAUGAUCAGUCACACUGGAACUGAGACACGGUCCAGACUCCUACGGGAGGCAGCAGUGGGGAAUAUUGGACAAUGGGCGAAAGCCUGAUCCAGCCAUGCCGCGUGUGUGAAGAAGGUCUUCGGAUUGUAAAGCACUUUAAGUUGGGAGGAAGGGUUGUAGAUUAAUACUCUGCAAUUUUGACGUUACCGACAGAAUAAGCACCGGCUAACUCUGUGCCAGCAGCCGCGGUAAUACAGAGGGUGCAAGCGUUAAUCGGAAUUACUGGGCGUAAAGCGCGCGUAGGUGGUUUGUUAAGUUGGAUGUGAAAUCCCCGGGCUCAACCUGGGAACUGCAUUCAAAACUGACAAGCUAGAGUAUGGUAGAGGGUGGUGGAAUUUCCUGUGUAGCGGUGAAAUGCGUAGAUAUAGGAAGGAACACCAGUGGCGAAGGCGACCACCUGGACUGAUACUGACACUGAGGUGCGAAAGCGUGGGGAGCAAACAGGAUUAGAUACCCUGGUAGUCCACGCCGUAAACGAUGUCAACUAGCCGUUGGGAGCCUUGAGCUCUUAGUGGCGCAGCUAACGCAUUAAGUUGACCGCCUGGGGAGUACGGCCGCAGGUUAAAACUCAAAUGAAUUGACGG
rnacentral:rRNA from 1 species